GUACUCACUUUGGCAGCACAUAUACUAAAAUUGGAAUGAUACAGAGAAGAUUAGCAUGGCUCCUGCACAAGGAUGACACACAAAUUCAUGAAGUGUUUCAUAUUUUA
ensembl:snRNA U6 U6 spliceosomal RNA